CGCUCCUUGCUGCAAACUAUUUCCACGUGAUCUAUAUAUGUCAACUUAUCAAGAUUUUGAAAAACCGGGCAGCAUUCUUGAAAGACAAAGAACAGGAUUAAGGUAAUAUUUUACAUCAUCGUAUGCGGCUGUUUGCAAAGACUAAAUAUACCUUUUUAAAGAUCACAUGUAGUGAGAGGAAUUUGACAUAAUAAGGUUUGCUUAGGCAUACCAUGCUGGAGGGAUUUACCAGGGUAUUUAUUCUUUAAGAAGAAUUAAAACAAAGAAGUCCAAGUGAUCCAAAUGCCAAAAGUGCCAAACAUGAUUUUCAAAGGAAGAAGGAUAUUGUGAUUUUUUUUUUUUUAAUUUCAAUUGUGACAAAUUUUUUCUGUUAAGAAGACUUUUAUUGACUGUGCGGAUGUUUACAACAGUUCAUGGAUUAUAUUUGUGUAAAAAAUUUAAACUAAUUAAAACUGUAGGAA